CAGUCACAUCACGUUGAAACACCGAUUCCUGUAAGAUUACUGAAGUUAAACAACAUCAAACCUAGUCAGUACUUAGGUGGGUGACCGCUUGGGAAUAUCAGGUGUUGUAAG